UGGGGAAUUUUGGACAAUGGGCGAAAGCCUGAUCCAGCAAUGCCGCGUGUGUGAAGAAGGCCUUCGGGUUGUAAAGCACUUUUGUCCGGAAAGAAAUCCUUGGCUCUAAUACAGUCGGGGGAUGACGGUACCGGAAGAAUAAGCACCGGCUAACUACGUGCCAGCAGCCGCGGUAAUACGUAGGGUGCAAGCGUUAAUCGGAAUUACUGGGCGUAAAGCGUGCGCAGGCGGUUUGCUAAGACCGAUGUGAAAUCCCCGGGCUCAACCUGGGAACUGCAUUGGUGACUGGCAGGCUAGAGUAUGGCAGAGGGGGGUAGAAUUCCACGUGUAGCAGUGAAAUGCGUAGAGAUGUGGAGGAAUACCGAUGGCGAAGGCAGCCCCCUGGGCCAAAUACUGACGCUCAUGCACGAAAAGCGUGGGGAGCAAAACAGGAUUAGAUACCCUGGUAGUCCACGCCCUAAAACGAUGUCAACUAGUUGUUGGGGAUUCAUUUCCUUAGUAACGUAGCUAACGCGUGAAGUUGACCGCCUGGGGAGUACGGUCGCAAGAUUAAAACUCAAAUGAAUUGACGGGGUCAUA
rnacentral:rRNA from 1 species